rnacentral:rRNA from 1 species
AUUGAACGCUGGCGGCAGGCCUAACACAUGCAAGUCGAGCGGUAGAGAGGAGCUUGCUUCUCUUGAGAGCGGCGGACGGGUGAGUAAUGCCUAGGAAUCUGCCUGGUAGUGGGGGAUAACGUUCGGAAACGGACGCUAAUACCGCAUACGUCCUACGGGAGAAAGUGGGGGAUCUUCGGACCUCACGCUAUCAGAUGAGCCUAGGUCGGAUUAGCUAGUUGGGGAGGUAAAGGCUCACCAAGGCGACGAUCCGUAACGGGUCUGAGAGGAUGACAAGGCUCACUGAAGGUGAGACCCGGUCGAGACUCGUAGGGGAGGCGGCGGUGUGAUAUAUAGGGCAAUGGGCGCAAGCCUGAUCCAGCCAUACCGCGUGUGUGGAGAAGGUCUUCGGAUUGUAAAGCCCUUUUGUUGAGAAGGAAAAGCAGCCGGCCAAUACCCGGUUGUUCUGACGGUACCCAAAGAAUAAGCACCGGCUAACUGCGUGCCAGCCGCCGCCGUAACAC